GUAGGUGGCGAGCGUUAUUCGGAAUCACUGGGCGUAAAGGGUCCGUAGGGGUAAGGUCAGUCUGAUGUGAAAGCCGGGGGCUCAACUCCCGAAGUGCAUUGGAUACUGCCUUACUAGAGUGUGUGAGAGGUAAGCGGAAUUCGUGGUGUAGCGGUGGAAUGCGUAGAUAUCACGAGGAAGACCAAAGGCGUAAGCAGCUUACUGGCACACAACUGACCCUGAGGGACGAAAGCUAGGGGAGCGAAAAGGAUUAGAUACCCUUGUAGUCCUAGCCGUAAACGUUGUAUACUCGGUGCUGGAACCCUUCGGGUUUCGGUGUCUAAGCUAACGCGAUAAGUAUACCGCCUGGGAAGUACGGUGCAAGACUA
rnacentral:rRNA from 1 species